UGGGGAAUAUUGGACAAUGGGCGAAAGCCUGACCCAGCCAUGCCGCGUGUGUGAAGAAGGUCUUCGGAUUGUAAAGCACUUUAAGUUGGGAGGAAGGGCAGUAAGCGAAUACCUUGCUGUUUUGACGUUACCGACAGAAUAAGCACCGGCUAACUCUGUGCCAGCAGCCGCGGUAAUACAGAGGGUGCAAGCGUUAAUCGGAAUUACUGGGCGUAAAGCGCGCGUAGGUGGUUCGUUAAGUUGAAUGUGAAAGCCCCGGGCUCAACCUGGGAACUGCAUCCAAAACUGGCGAGCUAGAGUAGGGCAGAGGGUGGUGGAAUUUCCUGUGUAGCGGUGAAAUGCGUAGAUAUAGGAAGGAACACCAGUGGCGAAGGCGACCACCUGGGCUCAUACUGACACUGAGGUGCGAAAGCGUGGGGAGCAAACAGG
rnacentral:rRNA from 1 species